AGUAGGGAAUCUUGCGCUAAUGCGCGAAAGCGUGACGCAGCGACGCCGCGUGCGGGAUGAAGGCCCUCGGGUCGUAAACCGCUUUCGGCAGGGACGAAGCGAAAGUGACGGUACCUGCAGAAGAAGUCCCGGCUAACUACGUGCCAGCAGCCGCGGUAACACGUAGGGGACGAGCGUUGUCCGGAUUCAUUGGGCGUAAAGCGCGCGUAGGCGGCUCGGAAAGUCGGUCGUGAAAUCCUGGGGCUCAACCCCGGGACUGCGUCCGAUACUUCCGAGCUGGAGGUAGGUAGGGGAGAUCGGAAUUCCUGGUGUAGCGGUGAAAUGCGCAGAUAUCAGGAGGAACACCGGUGGCGAAGGCGGAUCUCUGGGCCUUACCUGACGCUGAGGCGCGAAAGCUAGGGGAGCGAA
rnacentral:rRNA from 1 species